rnacentral:rRNA from 1 species
GUACACUCCUACGGGAGGCAGCAGUGGGGAAUUUUGGACAAUGGGCGAAAGCCUGAUCCAGCAAUGCCGCGUGAGUGAAGAAGGCCUUCGGGUUGUAAAGCUCUUUUGUCAGGGAAGAAACGGUGAGAGCUAAUAUCUUUUGCUAAUGACGGUACCUGAAGAAUAAGCACCGGCUAACUACGUGCCAGCAGCCGCGGUAAUACGUAGGGUGCAAGCGUUAAUCGGAAUUACUGGGCGUAAAGCGUGCGCAGGCGGUUUUGUAAGUCUGAUGUGAAAUCCCCGGGCUCAACCUGGGAAUUGCAUUGGAGACUGCAAGGCUAGAAUCUGGCAGAGGGGGGUAGAAUUCCACGUGUAGCAGUGAAAUGCGUAGAUAUGUGGAGGAACACCGAUGGCGAAGGCAGCCCCCUGGGUCAAGAUUGACGCUCAUGCACGAAAGCGUGGGGAGCAAACAGGAUUAGAAACCCUGGUAGUCCCAUGA